rnacentral:rRNA from 1 species
CCUACGGGAGGCAGCAGUGAGGAAUAUUGGUCAAUGGUCGGGAGACUGAACCAGCCAAGCCGCGUGAGGGAAGAAGGUACAGAGUAUCGUAAACCUCUUUUGUCAGGGAACAAAGGCGGGGACGUGUCCCCGGAUGAGUGUACCUGCAGAAAAAGCAUCGGCUAACUCCGUGCAAGCAGCCGCGGUAAUACGGGGGAUGCGAGCGUUAUCCGGAUUUAUUGGGUUUAAAGGGGUCGCAGGCGGAGGUGCAAGUCAGCGGUAAAAUUGAGAGCAUCAACCUCUUCGAGCAGUUGAAACUGGUUUUCUUGAGUGAGCGAGAAGUAUGCGGAAUGCGUGGUGUAGCGGUGAAAUGCAUAGAUAUCACGCAGAACUCCGAUGGCGAAGGCAGCAUACCGGCGCUCAACUGACGCUGAUGCACGAAAGUGUGGGUAUCGAACAGGAUUAGAUACCCGAGUAGUC